UACGUAGGGUGCAAGCGUUAAUCGGAAUCACUGGGCGUAAAGCGUGCGCAGGCGGCUAUACAAGUCAGGGGUGAAAGCCUGGAGCUUAACUCCAGAAUUGCCUUUGAAACUGUAUAGCUGGAGUCCCGGAGGGGGUGGCGGAAUUCCUAAUGUAGCGGUGAAAUGCGUAGAUAUUAGGAGGAACACCAGUGGCGAAGGCGAGUCCCUGGACAGAUCCUGACGCUGAGGCACGAAAGCUAGGGGAGCAAACAGG
rnacentral:rRNA from 1 species